AUAGUCUCCGUUUGGGGAAGGACGAGAACCUUCGACCAAGGUUCGACUCGAGCGCAUGCGAGAGAACGUUGCCGCAGGCAACGGCCCGAAGGGCGAGGAACGAAGUGACGAGUAAUCCUUCCCCCACCACCA
rnacentral:sRNA from 1 species